GGGGGCGUAAAGGUUUCGACGGGGAUUUUGAAGCAUGAUAAGCGAGUAGAGGAGCGCACUCUCUUAAAACGGCGUACGUUUUAAAAUUAGACGACAAAGAUAAUUUUGAAUUAGCAGCUGCUUAAUAGCUGCUCGUCUUCCCUUUGAGUACCACGGCUUAGGGUUAGGCGCCGAUUAGUGGUGAACGUUGACAGGUGACGGCUGUAGCCUGUUGAUGUAUUACGGUCUACUGAAUGCAGGGGCGUGUUUGUUUGCCUUUGCAUGAGGGAAUGGGUUUUACCGCAAUAACAAAAUACACUCGUAGAAAUUCAUGGGGAUAGGUUUUCGGACAGGAGUUCGACUCUCCUCGCCUCCACCA
rnacentral:tmRNA from 1 species